rnacentral:rRNA from 1 species
GAUGAACGCUGGCGGCGUGCUUAACACAUGCAAGUCGAACGCUGAAGCCCCAGCUUGCUGGGGUGGAUGAGUGGCGAACGGGUGAGUAACACGUGAGUAACCUUCCCUUGACUCUGGGAUAAGCCUGGGAAACCGGGUCUAAUACCGGAUACGACCGGUCACCGCAUGGUGGCCGGUGGAAAGAUUUAUCGGUCUUGGAUGGACUCGCGGCCUAUCAGCUUGUUGGUGGGGUAAUGGCCCACCAAGGCGA